rnacentral:Y_RNA from 1 species
GGCUGGUCCGAUGGCAGUGGGUUAUAAGAACUGUUUAAAUGUUAGUACCGCUAACUUCUAACUUACCUUAAGUUAGUAACUUGGCUUAAGUUAGCAAGUUAGUAUCACUAACCCCCCCACUGCUAAACUUGACUGGCUUUUA